rnacentral:rRNA from 1 species
CGCUGGCGGCGUGCCUAAUACAUGCAAGUCGAACGGUCUUUCUAUGGAAGCUUGCUUCCACUGAAAGAUAGUGGCGAACGGGUGAGUAACACGUGGGUAACCUGCCCAUAAGAGGGGGGAUAACAUCCGGAAACGGGUGCUAAUACCGCAUAGUUUUCUUGAUCGCAUGAUCGGGAAAGGAAAGACGGCCUUUGUGCUGUCGCUUAUGGAUGGACCCGCGGCGUAUUAGUUAGUUGGUGAGGUAACGGCUCACCAAGACGAUGAUACGUAGCCGACCUGAGAGGGUGAUCGGCCACAUUGGGACUGAGACACGGCCCAAACUCCUACGGGAGGCAGCAGUAGGGAAUCUUCCGCAAUGGACGAAAGUCUGACGGAGCAACGCCGCGUGAGUGAAAGAAGGUUUUCGGAUCGUAAAACUCUGUUGUCAGAGAAGAACAAGUUGGAGAGUAACUGCUCCAGCCUUGACGGUAUCUGACCAGAAAGCCACGGCUAACUACGUGCCAGCCGCGGC